rnacentral:rRNA from 1 species
GAUGAACGCUGGCGGCGUGCCUAAUACAUGCAAGUCGAACGCUUCACUUCGGUGAAGAGUGGCGAACGGGCGAGUAAUACAUAAGUAACCUGGCAUCUACAGGGGGAUAACUGAUGGAAACGUCAGCUAAGACCGCAUAGGUGUAGAGAUCGCAUGAACUCUAUAUGAAAAGUGCUACGGGACUGGUAGAUGAUGGACUUAUGGCGCAUUAGCUUGUUGGUAGGGUAACGGCCUACCAAGGCGACGAUGCGUAGCCGACCUGAGAGGGUGACCGGCCACACUGGGACUGAGACACGGCCCAGACUCCUACGGGAGGCAGCAGUAGGGAAUUUUCGGCAAUGGGGGAAACCCUGACCGAGCAACGCCGCGUGAAGGAAGAAGUAAUUCGUUAUGUAAACUUCUGUCAUAGAGGAAGAACGGUGGAUAUAGGGAAUGAUAUCCAAGUGACGGUACUCUAUAAGAAAGCCACGGCUAACUACGU